GAAAAUGUUGUCUCUCUUGAGUGGAUCCUGAGUACGACGGAGCACGUGAAAUUCCGUCGGAAUCUGGGAGGACCAUCUCCUAAGGCUAAAUACUCUCUAGUGACCGAUAGUGAACCAGUACCGUGAGGGAAAGGUGAAAAGCACCCCGGAAGGGGAGUGAAAUAGAACCUGAAACCGUGUGCUUACAAGUAGUCAGAGCCCGUUAAUGGGUGAUGGCGUGCCUUUUGUAGAAUGAACCGGCGAGUUACGAUUUGAUGCAAGGUUAAGCAGUAAAUGUGGAGCCGUAGCGAAAGCGAGUCUGAAUAGGGCGUUUAGUAUUUGGUCGUAGACCCGAAACCAGGUGAUCUACCCUUGGUCAGGUUGAAGUUCAGGUAACACUGAAUGGAGGACCGAACCGACUUACGUUGAAAAGUGAGCGGAUGAACUGAGGGUAGCGGAGAAAUUCCAAUCGAACCUGGAGAUAGCUGGUUCUCUCCGAAAUAGCUUUAGGGCUAGCCUCAAGUGAUGAUUAUUGGAGGUAGAGCACUGUUUGGACGAGGGGCCCCUCUCGGGUUACCGAAUUCAGACAAACUCCGAAUGCCAAUUAAUUUAACUUGGGAGUCAGAACAUGGGUGAUAAGGUCCGUGUUCGAAAGGGAAACAGCCCAGACCACCAGCUAAGGUCCCAAAAUAUAUGUUAAGUGGAAAAGGAUGUGGCGUUGCCCAGACAACUAGGAUGUUGGCUUAGAAGCAGCCAUCAUUUAAAGAGUGCGUAAUAGCUCACUAGUCGAGUGACACUGCGCCGAAAAUGUACCGGGGCUAAACAUAUUACCGAAGCUGUGGAUUGUCCUUUGGACAAUGGUAGGAGAGCGUUCUAAGGGCGUUGAAGCAUGAUCGUAAGGACAUGUGGAGCGCUUAGAAGUGAGAAUGCCGGUGUGAGUAGCGAAAGACGGGUGAGAAUCCCGUCCACCGAUUGACUAAGGUUUCCAGAGGAAGGCUCGUCCGCUCUGGGUUAGUCGGGUCCUAAGCUGAGGCCGACAGGCGUAGGCGAUGGAUAACAGGUUGAUAUUCCUGUACCACCUAUA
rnacentral:rRNA from 1 species